UCCCUGGUGGACUAGUGGCUAGCAUGCAGUGCGCUCAACGCUGUGCCGGGGUUUGAUUCACCGUCAGUAAA
rnacentral:tRNA from 1 species